AUGGCGCUGACCCAGAAGGCGGAGGCUCUUCGACCAGCUCUAGAACGCAUCCUGGUUGAGUGGAGUCAAUUGGAGACAGAUUUGAGCGAAGUCUCCCUCUACACCACCAGGCUGCGCUGUGUCCUGCAGCAGCUGCUGCACACACCUGCAUUCUCACCCAAGCAAGUCCAGAAGCAGUUGGAGGAGCUUAAGCAACUGCAGGAGGGUGCUGGGAAAGGGGUCAAGCUGUGUGUAGCAGUGGACCAAUCAUAUCAGGCUCUGGAAGGAAAAGUCAAUGACGUCACAGCCAGGUUACUCAAAGAGCGGAUUGAAGGAGAGCAAAGAAGGUCAGCAGCGGGGAUAAUGUUUAGCAGAAUAUUUGUAGGGAAAUAAAAUGUUAAUUGAACUCCACAAUGGUGUUAAGAAGGAGAAGUUACAGGUUCUUUAAAAUCCAACAUAGUCAUAGCUGCAACUUUUUAACUACUUUUUAGAGAGCUGAAUCCAGAGAAUCUC
rnacentral:lncRNA from 1 species